rnacentral:lncRNA from 1 species
CCAACAUCUCUCUCUCACCUCUCAAAUUUUUCUAUCAACUCCAUCAAACGUCAACCUUAACAUCUCUCUCUCACCUCUCAAACUCUCUUCCGUAGCUCUCUCUCAACCUUUCACUCUCGUCUUCUCGGCCAAACACCACAAAAUACCACCGCCACAUCAAAACUCCACCAGGACCCAGCAAACGCUCUCAUAACUACCUGGGAGUCUCUGCAACUUAUUGGUCUGUCACACUCGGAGGAAAACGAAAAUUUCGUUCUUAAUAUUAUCGAAAUCCAAGCAACUGAAUCGUCUCCGUAAGGUUUCGUUUCUCACUCUCAAACUCCCUCUAGAGUAUUCUGUGAAUAUUCUUAGCAAGCAUGCUUGUUUUUACUGAAGAACUUAAUUUUCUCCGCAUAAAAUCCGACGUAAAUUUUUUGCUCGAAUAAACCCAUUAACUAAACUCUACAUAAGCAAUGCAUUAAUUAUGUUCGACUUUACCCAUUUAAAAUUUUUCGGAUGCCUAAAACGCCCUUAUUGAAUGUUUAAUGUACAGAAUUAAUUCUAUGCAAAUUAUAAAGGAAAAUUAAUAAAAAAAUGUCGUACCCAGUGCACAAUGCUCCCGCUUUACGCAGGAUGAUUUUACAAAAAUAAUAUUUUGCAUAUAAAUGUAGGGAUUUGUUGGUGUAAGACGACUUCCCACAACCCCUAGACUACAGAAUUGAACUUGCAUGUUCGAAUAUCCCUCGAUCUAGAAAGUUCGAAUUUGGCAGUGGCUUAUAGGCCAUUUUCCGAGCACCUUCGGCCAACCGUUGGUCCCCAAAGUGGUAUAAACGUGUUGAUACGUCUUGUGCAUAAAAUGGUUGAGAAAUGACUGUUGUGUUAAUUUGGAAUAUUCCAGCGGAAAUUCUGUUCUCGAGCAGACUAAAGGAAAUUAGGUUUAUUACAUUAAUUAUUAUUAGUUUAAUAAUUAGCGUAGUAAUUUUCUGUGUUGGAGAGGAGAGCCCGGAGAAGUAUCGCGGGCAGAAUAGUUAGGCAGUUAUGAUUUACAUGGACUUGUGAGUCUUUUCAUUUUUACCCGUGUAUAUAUUUAUAUAUAUAUAUAUGUGUGUGAUUUUUUUCUCGACAACCGUUUUUAUAUACUAUGAUAACAUGCUAUGUUUAUUCUUAUAAAUGGACUUUGCAUACACUUUAUGUUUAUAAUAUAAUUUGUGAGCAUGAACUUGUGGCGUAACAUUCUUGCGUUUUAUCUUCGUAUUAUUAUAUAUUUGCACGGUGUCUCUUAAUUAUUUGCAUUGUUGUGGGCCAAUGAGUACCUUCACAUGUAGUUCAAAUGCACUAUUACAUUCGCUUUAGAUCCAAAAUUAGGUACCAGCUUGUCCUUUUGUGUGAUGUUUUAGGCUCGUACGUGAUACGACUAGCGCAACUCACGUGAUGUAAUACCAAAAUAUAAAACCUACACCCAGCCUGUUUCAUGAAUAUCUUUGCAAUGGAAUUGUGUCUAUAUAAAUUAAUGAACAUUGAUUUAUUGUGAUAAUGAAUUAAGAUUUGAUAUUGAGAUACCUUGUUGUAGGGUCUACAUCUUUUGAUUCACUUGUGUUGCAGAUUACCUAUUACAUACUAUUAUUAUAGUAUUUUUAAGAGGUAUGUACUUGUUUUACAGUGGGGUUACACAUUUUCGAAAAUGGUCUACAAAAUUUUAUUUUUCAAUCCCACUCACAUUUGUUUUUCUCAUUUCCAGGAUAUUAGUGGCAAAGAGUUUUGUGACGACGAUGAUUGCUGGUAAAACCUGUUAUGUGGGAGACUUCUCAUCUCGGUAUAAAUGUUCUUAUUAUUAUUU